rnacentral:lncRNA from 1 species
CUGGUCUUGCCUUAACAUUUCACCUCUCAUAGAACCACUUCUUUUGGAGCUGCAGGAAUACACUCCGCUUCCUCUUCCCCAAUCUAAUGCCCCCUUCAACCCUCGGAGUUAAACGAAAUCCUUCAUUGUAUAAAACUAAGCUCUCUGAAAAGUUCACCAUAUCUAGUGUAACUUCAUUAUCACCAAUCUCGAGAUGUUUAAAAGCCAGUUCAUUAAGGUCAUAAGAAACCAGCUCUCCACUAAUCAUUAACAUUCCAAAGUCACUAUUGUUGACAAUGCCUAAUGGCCUUACAAUUCUUUCCUCUGGCACAAUCGAGUAUUGUUUAGUCCAAGACUCCACCAUGCCAUACUCCCUCAUCACCCAAAUGUAACAGCCCUCGAUUAGUCUAAGAUUGCUGAUGCUGCAAACAAUCAGGGCAAGUGAUUCUCUUAACACGGCCACAGAAACUUGAGGCCUUUCUCCUUCGCCAUAUUCAUGAUACAUUGGAAGCAUUAUCUCUCCAAACUUCUCAGAAUCAAAAUCAAACAACAGGACAACAUUUGCAGAGGAUUCUUCUCCGGUUUAGAGGCAAAAAAAUGGACAGCUUCAUUGAGAAAUGCUGAUGAAAAUGUAUCAUUUGCAUAGUAUCCAGCAUUAUUUCCAAUUGUUCUCCAUGAAUUCGUUGCUAGCGAAUAUACCUCAACUCUUGGUGGUUUUUUUUCAACAUAUAAUGGCAUAUAAACAUCUCCAAAAUACAUUAUCCUUACAUUAUUUGAGGAUGAUUAUUUGGAAAAUGGAUUAAUUUGAGGAUUAUUAUUAUUUUUUUUUUUUGGAAAUGGAUUAUUUUGCUGAUGAUGAUGAAUCUGAUUAUGAUGAUUAUUAUUUUUGAAAUGGAUUAUUAUUUUGCUAAUGAUGAUCUUUUAUUUUGAUUAUUAUUAAUUUUAUUAUUAUUAUUAAUGAUAAAUUAUAAUUAAUUAAUACACUAAGAACAUAUGAAUAUAAUUAAUCAAUAUAUUAACAAUAAUUAAUAAUAAUAAUAAUAAUAACAAUUAACAAUAUUAUUAUUAUGAUAAAAAAAGAAAUAUAAUUAAUUAAUAUAACAACAACAACAAUGAUAAUAAUAGUUAUUAUUAUAAUUAAUUAAGGGUACUUUAAUAAUUUAAAACAAUUCAACUCAUUCCGAUUAUGAUUUUUACAGCUUAAGUAAAUAAUUUAUUCUAAUUGUCAUUCCCUAUUCCGAUUCAAGUUUAUUCCGAUUCUAGGCCAUUCCGAUUACUGACAAAUAAACGCAGUAUUUAUUGCUAACAAGUGGCAUAAUUAAAGAGGAAUUAAAAUAUUUAUAUCAUCUUAUAGUUAUCGUUUCAGUUUUGAUUUUAAAUGAUUAGGGAAUAGAUGACUGGAUACUUAAAGAAGAGUUAGAACAUUUUUAUUUUAUGUAUAGUACUUGAAAUUUCUCUACUGACUGUAUCUUCAACUUGUUCAUGUGCAUAUAGCACUACAGCUGGUAGAAACUAUAUAUGACUAAAGCUGGGCUUUAGUUUACUUGAAACGUUAGGAAACUAAAUGUUUAAAUUUAUAUUUAAAAAAAAUGAUGCAAGAUUUAAAAAGUUAAACAUUACCUCAAAUGCAUAGGUUUUAAUAUUUUUCCGAGUGUCACGCGCAUAUGUCAUAACCAUGCGCAUUAACUGUCACUACCGCAAAAGUUGCUGCCACAGAAGAUACUAGAAUCUUUGACGCAAAAUUAAUCACUUCAAUCUUAAAUAUAGCUGAGCCGAUGAUACAUAUACCUCAUCAAAUACUGAGGUGGAUUUAAAAUAUCAUGGACAUACUGCAAUUUAUGUGAGAUAUGAACUUAACAUAAUACAUGGGAGUUUGAACAUGGGACCAUACCAAACGUGUGGGGAAAUAUAAAACAUCUGGCGAUAAAAGGGGCCUUAAUUUAGGGACUAACAAGAUAAUCUUUAAAUGGUACAAAAUUAAUCCGUGCAAAAUAAUUUGAAAAUGCCAUCACCAAUUAUUUGGAUGUGAUUGUGGGAUGAGAUCUUGUCAUUAGCGAAGACUUGUACAAGUCGUCAGCAGAAAGGGCAGAAGUUGUUUUCAAUUUUUAAUGCCUUAUUUUGUCGUCCUUUCUCUGUUUUUAAACCUUUCCAACUUUGACUUUUGAACAAGGGGAGGCCGUCUUUUGUUUUUUUUCCUUUUCCUUCCUCUUCUACUAAUAACCAAGCAAAACAGUAACUAACAGUUUGAACAGCAUUUUCGUUUCUACAAAUUUAAAAUUACCCUGAAAAUUUUGAUACUGCAUGCAUUCGGAAAUACAUAACAACUGAAUUAAUUCGUUCAAAUUGGAAAAUAUCAUUCAAAAAUAUAAUUAGAUAAAACUCAAUCUUUAUUCUACUUCACCUCUUCACCAUUCACUUGGAUUUAGAAAGCAAGAAAUAUUUCAUGAUCUCAUCAUCUCCCUUGUGGGUCAAUGAUCUCAGAGAAGACAUCUCUACAGAGGGAUCCGCUCACAGAACAUUGUUCAUUUGAAAGAUAAGCCUCAUGACCAAACUUUCCACUCUCCUCUGCGCUCUCUUGUAGCUGAAAUGCAAACUCAAGACCACGAACCACAUCACUCAUGGAUGGCCUUUGGGCUCCAUCAUCAUUCAAGCAGCUAAUUGCAACCUCAGCAAAUUUGUUCAAGCAUUCAGCUGUUAUGUUACCUUUCAAAAGCGGAUCAACAAUCUCAUCAAUGGUUCCAUUGCGAUAACAUUGUUCAGCCCAAACAGCUAAACUCGCUUGAUUCCUUUCCAUUGUCCGAAUAAUAGGUGGUCGAGCGCACAAUGCUUCCAAUAACACAACGCCAAAUGAGUAGACAUCGGAUUUUUCCGUUAGCUGCUGAAGUCGAUAAUACUCAGGAUCUAAGUACCCGAUGCUCCCCUUCACUAUAGUACUGACAUGAGUUUUGGACAUGGAAUUGGGUCCAAAUUUGGACAGUCCAAAAUCAGAAACCUUGGCCACCCAUUUCUCAUCCAACAAGAUAUUCGUUGUCUUCACAUCCCGAUGAAUGAUAACUUGCUUCGCCCCAGUAUGCAGAUACUGCAGCCCACGAGCCGCGCCUAUGCAAAUGCCAAGCCGUUGACUCCAUGGAAGAGGAGGAUUAUUGCUGUCAUAGAGAUGAUCCCGUAGCGUCCCACGAGCCAUGAAAUCGUACACAAGGAUCAUCUCCCCGUCAUCAUUGCAGUAACCAAUGAGAGUGACCAACCCUUUUAACAGCCAAAUAACUAACUACUGAAAAAGCUUGAAUCAAUCCUUUUUAGCAACUCUGAUUUCUCAUACUGAUCCUGUAAGAAUAAUUUUCAAUCACGUGCCUUGAAAAUAUUUUGAUGGAAAAUUAUUGACUAUUCCUUUGUCUCUUUGGCACAAAAGAAUUGAUCAUUAUCAAUUCUUUUGUGUGGGAAUGUGUAGUCCUCAUUAUAAAUUUUCGAAAACCAUGCUAAACGUUUUAAGGAUAUCGAAAUAUUAGAAAAUUGAUGGUAAAUUUGCAAGGAUGUCGCUGUUCAUAACUGAUAUUUGAUGAUUGAUGUGCUCUUAAUUUAAAUAUUAUUUUAAUAUUUUUCUAACUUAAUUUUAUAAUAAAAUUUAUUUUAUUAUGUUAAUUUUUUUUAUUUUGUUAGUGUAGAUAUAUCUUGGGAAUAAGAAGAAAUCAAUUGGAGCUUAAAGAAUAAUGGAGUACAAAACUAAUACCUUAUGGAAACAAAUAUUUGAUUGUCAAUUUUGCCAAACACAUGAGAAGUCAAACCGUGAGCAUGAAUUUAAAAGAAGAAAAAAAGGGGAAUGACUUCCAAGUUUAAGUUAUUCAAGUGGAGUGCACUAAAGGAUUAAUUGAUAAAUUAAAAUGGCAAGCAUGUGGUGGGCUUUUUGGACAAAUCCUUACUGGCUUAGCAAUUAUAAAGUUGUUUUGAUUUAAGGAUUGACCAUACCAAACAAGCACUUGGAGGACAAAGAUUAUUAUAUAAAGAGAUGAAAAACUGAGAACAAAAGAAUUCAAAAGAGAAGCAACCGUAGAAUUUUAUCGAAGCCGAGAGAAGAGAAGAGCUGCAAGAGAUCCAGAGAUAAGCCGAGAUUAAUUCUUGAGUUUUGCAAUAUUUUUAAGCUAAGCCAACGUUCCAGGAACAAUAGGAAUUGAUUGUUCCUUGGUGAAAUUCAAAGAACAGAAACAAGAGAUUCUUCAUUCAGGAACAAAUAAAACAAGUAACGAGUCUUUAGAAUCAAAUUAUGUCUGCAUACAUUUGUAUCAACAAAGUGUCAUCAUGAUGUGGUGCCGUGGUUCCGGUGCUCCUUUUGUAAUCAAACAUUCUGGUCUUGCCUUUGCAUUUCACCUCUCAUAGAACCACUUCUUUUGGAGCUGCAGGAAUACACUCCGCUUCCUCUUCCCCAAUCUAAUGCCCCCUUCAACCCUCGGAGUUAAACGAAAUCCUUCAUUGUGUAAGACUAAGCUCUCUGAAAAGUUCACCAUAUCUAGUGUAACUUCAUUAUCACCAAUCUCGAGAUGUUUAAAAGCCAGUUCAUUAAGGUCAUAAGAAACCAGCUCUCCACUAAUCAUUAACAUUCCAAAGUCACUAUUGUUGACAAUGCCUAAUGGCCUUACAAUUCUUUCCUCUGGCACAAUCGAGUAUUGUUUAGUCCAAGACUCCACCAUGCCAUACUCCCUCAUCACCCAAAUGUAACAGCCCUCGAUUAGUCUAAGAUUGCUGAUGCUGCAAACAAUCAGGGCAAGUGAUUCUCUUAACACGGCCACAGAAACUUGAGGCCUUUCUCCUUCGCCAUAUUCAUGAUACAUUGGAAGCAUUAUCUCUCCAAACUUCUCAGAAUCAAAAUCAAACAACAGGACAACAUUUGCAGAGGAUUCUUCUCCGGUUUAGAGGCAAAAAAAUGGACAGCUUCAUUGAGAAAUGCUGAUGAAAAUGUAUCAUUUGCAUAGUAUCCAGCAUUAUUUCCAAUUGUUCUCCAUGAAUUCGUUGCUAGCGAAUAUACCUCAACUCUUGGUGGUUUUUUUUCAACAUAUAAUGGCAUAUAAACAUCUCCAAAAUACAUUAUCCUUACAUUAUUUGAGGAUGAUUAUUUGGAAAAUGGAUUAAUUUGAGGAUUAUUAUUAUUUUUUUUUUGGAAAUGGAUUAUUUUGCUGAUGACGAUGAAUCUGAUUAUGAUUAUUAUUAUUAUUGAAAUGGAUUAUUAUUUUGCUAAUGAUGAUCUUUUAUUUUGAUUAUUGUUAAUUUUAUUAUUAUUAUUAAUGAUAAAUUAUAAUUAAUUAAUACACUAAGAACAUAUGAAUAUAAUUAAUUAAUAUAUUAACAAUAAUUAAUAAUAAUAAUAACGAUUAACAAUAUUAUUAUUAUGAUAAAAAAAAGAAAUAUAAUUAAUUAAUAUAACAACAACAACAAUGAUAAUAAUAGUUAUUAUUAUAAUUAAUUAAGGAAAUUUUAAUAAUUUAAAACAAUUCAACUCAUUCCGAUUCUGAUUUUUACAGCUUAAGUAAAUAAUUUAUUCUAAUUGUCAUUCCCUAUUCCGAUUCAAGUUUAUUCCGAUUCUAGGCCAUUCCGAUUACUGACAAAUAAACGCAGUAUUUAUUGCUAACAAGUGGCAUAAUUAAAGAGGAAUUAAAAUAUUUAUAUCAUCUUAUAGUUAUCGUUUCAGUUUUGAUUUUAAAUGAUUAGGGAAUAGAUGACUGGAUACUUAAAGAAGAGUUAGAACAUUUUUAUUUUAUGUAUAGUACUUGAAAUUUCUCUACUGACUGUAUCUUCAACUUGUUCAUGUGCAUAUAGCACUACAGCUGGUAGAAACUAUAUAUGACUAAAGCUGGGCUUUAGUUUACUUGAAACGUUAGGAAACUAAAUGUUUAAAUUUAUAUUUAAAAAAAAUGAUGCAAGAUUUAAAAAGUUAAACAUUACCUCAAAUGCAUAGGUUUUAAUAUUUUUCCGAGUGUCACGCGCAUAUGUCAUAACCAUGCGCAUUAACUGUCACUACCGCAAAAGUUGCUGCCACAGAAGAUACUAGAAUCUUUGACGCAAAAUUAAUCACUUCAAUCUUAAAUAUAGCUGAGCCGAUGAUACAUAUACCUCAUCAAAUACUGAGGUGGAUUUAAAAUAUCAUGGACAUACUGCAAUUUAUGUGAGAUAUGAACUUAACAUAAUACAUGGGAGUUUGAACAUGGGACCAUACCAAACGUGUGGGGAAAUAUAAAACAUCUGGCGAUAAAAGGGGCCUUAAUUUAGGGACUAACAAGAUAAUCUUUAAAUGGUACAAAAUUAAUCCGUGCAAAAUAAUUUGAAAAUGCCAUCACCAAUUAUUUGGAUGUGAUUGUGGGAUGAGAUCUUGUCAUUAGCGAAGACUUGUACAAGUCGUCAGCAGAAAGGGCAGAAGUUGUUUUCAAUUUUUAAUGCCUUAUUUUGUCGUCCUUUCUCUGUUUUUAAACCUUUCCAACUUUGACUUUUGAACAAGGGGAGGCCGUCUUUUGUUUUUUUUCCUUUUCCUUCCUCUUCUACUAAUAACCAAGCAAAACAGUAACUAACAGUUUGAACAGCAUUUUCGUUUCUACAAAUUUAAAAUUACCCUGAAAAUUUUGAUACUGCAUGCAUUCGGAAAUACAUAACAACUGAAUUAAUUCGUUCAAAUUGGAAAAUAUCAUUCAAAAAUAUAAUUAGAUAAAACUCAAUCUUUAUUCUACUUCACCUCUUCACCAUUCACUUGGAUUUAGAAAGCAAGAAAUAUUUCAUGAUCUCAUCAUCUCCCUUGUGGGUCAAUGAUCUCAGAGAAGGCAUCUCUACAGAGGGAUCCGCUCUCAGAACAUUUAUUAUUUGAAAGAUCAGCCUCAUGACCAAACUUUUCACUCUCCUCUGCGCUCUCUUGUAGCUGAAAUGCAAACUCAAGACCACGAACCACAUCACUCAUGGAUGGCCUUUGGGCUCCAUCAUCAUUCAAGCAGCUAAUUGCAACCUCAGCAAAUUUGUUCAAGCAUUCAGCUGUUAUGUUACCUUUCAAAAGCGGAUCAACAAUCUCAUCAAUGGUUCCAUUGCGAUAACAUUGUUCAGCCCAAACAGCUAAACUCACUUGAUUCCUUUCCAUUGUCCGAAUAAUAGGUGGUCGAGCGCACAAUGCUUCCAAUAACACAACGCCAAAUGAGUAGACAUCGGAUUUUUCCGUUAGCUGCUGAAGUCGAUAAUACUCAGGAUCUAAGUACCCGAUGCUCCCCUUCACUAUAGUACUGACAUGAGUUUUGGACAUGGAAUUGGGUCCAAAUUUGGACAGUCCAAAAUCAGAAACCUUGGCCACCCAUUUCUCAUCCAACAAGAUAUUCGUUGUCUUCACAUCCCGAUGAAUGAUAACUUGCUUCGCCCCAGUAUGCAGAUACUGCAGCCCACGAGCCGCGCCUAUGCAAAUGCCAAGCCGUUGACUCCAUGGAAGAGGAGGAUUAUUGCUGUCAUAGAGAUGAUCCCGUAGCGUCCCACGAGCCAUGAAAUCGUACACAAGGAUCAUCUCCCCGUCAUCAUUGCAGUAACCAAUGAGAGUGACCAAAUGAAUGUGCAUUAGUUGGGAGAGCAUCUCUAUCUCUGUCUGAAAUUCCAGUGCACCCUGUUGUGACCCUGGAAUCAGCCGUUUGAUCGCAACAGGAGUGGCGCCACCGUUGAUGAACCCUUUGUAUACGUUACCAAACCCUCCAACUCCAAUAAUGAGACCAGUAUCAAAGUUGUUUGUUGCUGCUUUGAUUUCGGAUAGUGAAAAGUGAGUACAUAGAUCCAGCGUUAGAGAUGAGCCACGAGACUUCCUUGAAUUUGUCUUAGAAGUAGAAAAACGUCUCCAGAAAAAAAUUGAAAGAGAAAUUGCAACAAAACCUGACAUAAGUCCACCAACAAUGAAAAUUGUAGUUGCCAUGAUAUUCUUGGAUUUCCUUGAUUGUGAGCUUGGCAUUUCCUGUGGCACAAUGGAAGGUUCGUUAUUCCGACUUUCGCUGAUCAGGGUUUCAGGAUUAGGUAAGGCGAGAUUUCCAUUGUUGUCCACCUUAAAAAUUUCAAUCCCGUUCAAGAUAGCAUCAGAAUACCUGGUCCUCCAUUCGGGCGUAGGAUGCAGUGCAAUAGAGAGUUUCUGCUUCUUUUCAUCUCCUUUUUUCAAUAUCAUUACAGCGUAGUCUCUGUAGGUGGGAACUCCAUUUCCCCCACUCCAAGCUAUUAUGUCUGCUUGAGAUUCAGCAAUUUCAUCAGCAAUGUUGAUCGCGAACUCUCUAUCACCGGGUUCAGUGAUCUCAAUCUGAAACUCGCAAAAAUGAAGCCUAAGAAAAUAUGUAAACCCGGAAUCCACUUGAAACUCCCAAUUGAGAUUAUAAUUCUCGUUUAUGUUCUUAUCCUGCCCCAUUGCUCUGGCGGUUUGGUAGAGACUAACGGGAGCAGAGUAAUUAGAUAUCUUAGUGAAACGGAGAACAAUACUAGUGUUAACGGGAAGAGCAGUGGGUCUGGCAUCUGUCAAGUAAGCGUCAUCCGUACUCCAGGUCCGAAGCAUUCCUGUGUCUCCUAGUGGUGAAAUGUGACUCCCACCAACAUUUAUUCGGUAUAACGACUCAAGGGCAUUGCUGUUUUCUAUCAUAAAUCGUUUCUCCUGGCCAACAAACAGGAACCAUGAGUCGUCGUAAUAAAGAUUCAGUGGCAUGGAUACUAUUUCAAUUCCGUUGAUAAAAGCAUAUGAAUCUUUGUAAUCUGGACUUGAUUUGAACGUAAUGUUCAAUAACCUCUGACUUUCUUCGACGUUGAUGCAGAAUUCUUUGAAAAAUGAAUCCUCGCCCAAAGCAUCAGCUGUAAGCGAAGCACUGAAGUUGCUAAGAAGGGUGAAAGAACCGGCUUUAACGGAGAAGAAAGCUUUAGGGCGGUCGAAGCCUGGAUAAGAAGUUGAAUAGAAAUACAGGCGGAUGAAUUUUUGACCUGCGGUGAGGUUGAAUAUGUAGGUGAACUUCGAAUGAGAAAGCCGUGCGGCUGAGUAUGGAGGUUGUUGAGGUGUGGUGAAGAUUCUUGAUGUGUCAUUUUUUGGCUGGAAGUAGUAGGAGCGUCCAGGGCUUAUAUCUCCAAUCCAGGUUCGGUAUUCCAGAGAAUGGAAGGUGCCAUUCGAGCCACAAGCAAGCAAUAUGCUGUCUGCGGCUUCAUAAGGAGUGUCUGAGGCACCGGAGACGGCGAAAGCCAUGUGGUGGAGGAAGAAUAAGAUGUAAGUUGGGGUGAUCAGAUACCUAGCGCCGGUGUUCUUCAUUGUGAUUGUGUUGUGUCUCUAGCUACAGCAUUUACAGAAUUUAAUAAAGGGUUAAAAUGUUAAAAACAAUGGUGGGCUAAAAUCAGAGUAAACGCGUCAAUGCGGGCCACUGAAAGACUAAGCAAAGUCUACGGUAGACGCUCUACGAAAGAUUGGAAGGUGGUCUUGGUCUUUGGGAUUACUCGUAAGUCCAGAUUAGAGUGUGGGUUUAAGGACUUUUAAGACAGAGUUUCCUUUUUUCGGGAGAUGGUCAACCGCUCAGAUCCAGUUUAACGGAAUUUUAAACUAAAUAUCAUUUUUUUUUUUUUAACUUUUAUAAUGAGUACCUUGCCUUUAAUAAAUAUCGUGCACACAAUAGAUUAGAGCUAUAAUUGGGAUACUCCAGCACUCUCACUUCACCCAUUACCACCUUCAACUCUUUGAACUCACCCUUUUCUACCAUAGUCGGCUCUACCAGGUACCAACUGAUACCAUGAUACAUAUUCCACAUUACCCGAUUUAUAGACUGUAACCUUCUAAAGGAUGCCAUAUAAAGCCGUACAGCAGUAUAUAUAUAUAUUAUUUUCAUUUUUUGUGAGUUUGUAGUUUUUUACGGAUUUUGAGAAUUAAAUCAAUGUCCAAUCCGCCGACUACAGAUUUUAAAAUUUUCAUUCCAAACCAAUUUACAAUCCACGCAUUGGAUUUUUUACGAAUCAAAUUUUUGUGACUCAAAUGAAUUCGAUUAGAUUCUAAACACCCUAACUUCAACUAAUGAUUAUUGAAGAAGAAAAGGGAAAUAACAUUGUUAGGGUUUAGUAAUUACUGAGGAUAAUAAUAAUCAUAAAUUAAUAAUGUCAAAUAAAAUGAAAAAAAUAAGUUUUUGGGUGCUUCAGGAGUACUGCUCUUUAUCCAUUCACUAUUUCACUACUUGCUACAUGCGUAUGUAUAUUAUUAUAAGGCAGUGACUAUGGUGGAGUUGCUCCACUGUAGAAUACUAAUGAUAAUUGUUAGAUUAUAGCAAUAAGUGUAGAUUUAAUAUUUAUUUUUAUGAUUGUACGGUCAUCAACAAUGGUCCAUAGUGGAACAGUUCCAACAUAUGUGAACCCUUAACAUACUGAAUUAAAAUAUACACUUAGAAAUAAAAUGAAUGAAAAAUAAGCACUACUGCAGAAAUACCUGAGACUUUUUCUUCAAAGAACCAAUGUAUAUUUGAUCGUUAGGACCGAGAUGGAUAGAUCUUAUUGGCACGAAAAACGGCUUGUUAUUAUAAAUUGAUUGAGGAAGGUAGCUCAAUUUCGUUAACGGUUUUGGAAAACAGAUUAUUAACAGCAGAUUGGACCCGCUCCAAUCUUCUUUGUAUUAAUUAGGCCCAGCUAAAGAAUAAGGUCUAGCGCCAGAAUAUUUAUCGACCUGGUUUGCUCAUAAGCACGUGAGAUUGAUUUAGGAAGGUUGUUUCCUUUUAAUAAAAGGAAACAAAAUCAAAUUAAACAGGACAUCAUUUAGGAAACCCUUCUCUAUUUACACAUAGACUGUCCUAAUCGUCCGGUGCUCAUUAUCUCACAGAAUAUAACUGUCCAUUACCAUGAUGCAGGAAAGAAGCCGCAUUCUUCCAGUGGGGUGCAAAUUCUUACCCUCUGAGGAACAACUUGUUCGUUACUAUCUUUUCAACAAGAUUUCUGGAAUCCCCACUCCCUUUGCUGAAUAUUUUGUGAAAGAUGUAGAUCUUUACGAUUAUGAAGAACCCUGGGAUAUUUGGAAACAGUUCGGAGGAUCCAAUUUAGAAGAUGGUGAGGAUCUUUACUUUUUCACACACUUAAAGAAGAAGAGCAUUAAUGGUUCAAGAAUUAAUCGCAAGGUCGGUUCUGGUGCAUGGCAAGGGGAAGAUGCCGGCGAGCUAGUCCUGUCCUGCAACUCCAAUCGCCCAAUUGGUUCAAAGAAAAUAUUUCGAUAUGAGAACGACAACUCUCCACACAACGGUUGCUGGAUUAUGCAUGAAUACACUCUGAACGCUUCACUGUUGCCUCAGAACCAUCAUUCCAGCAGUGACUGUGUUCUCUGUCGACUUAGAAAGAAUGGUGGUCAGUCAGUGGGGAUCAAGGAUUCAAGGAAAAAGAUAAAGAUUGAUAAACAAGUUGAAGACAAUGAUCAUCAGCCAGCGGGGAAGUCAAAUUCAAGGAAAAGGGUAAAGUUUGAACACCAAGUUAAUGGCAAUGAUAUCCCUGAUGAGCCUUUUGUUGAGAAUCACCAGAAUCAGUAUGUGCAAGAAAAUCAAUCGCAGCCCCUGAAUGAACAAAGUCCUCAUAAACUGCUUGAGUCCUCUGUUAAGAAUAACCCGGAAGAAAAAUCACCAGUGCCCAGGACUAAACAGACUCUUCUUGAACAAAUUGAGCAUUUAGCUGAGAAUGGAUAUCCAUCUACUUUUGAGGAGAAUCAACAACAGCCCAUGACCGAGCCAAGUCUUCAUAAUCAGCUUGAGCUUUCUCAGAAUCACCCGUUGAUGGAACAAACUCCAUCUUACCUUCUCAAGGGCCAAGAGGAAAAUCAUCAACUGGCCGUGACUGAACAGAAUCCUCAUCAUCUUGAGCUUUCCGAGAGUCACCAGAAUAUGAAACGCACUUCAUCAUCUAACCUCGAAGAAAACCAACUUCCAGCAACUGAACAGUCCCAUGAUGAUGCUAUCUACUCUGAGCUAACUGAUAUUAAUUCUUGGGUCGUUCAUCAGCUUACCCGUAUUGAGGAUGCUACCUACCCGCAUCUCGCCGAUGAUAAAUUUUUGGUUUCUAAUGAGCUUGUUUAUACGGAUUGAAAAUGACUCAUUCAGCUGCAUGCUGGAUAACCCCUUUUCAAUUUAAGCCCUUUUUUUGUUCAGUUUUUAUUGACUCGAGGAAAACAGAAGAAUACUAUAGCACAUGUCUAUUUCACUAGUAUUUUUAGAUUUGCUCUGGUGCAAGAAAUUCUGACAAGUAGACAGAGUAUAUAAUAUCCAGAUGCAUUUGCUGUUCCAGUAUUCAUUUUUUUUUUCAGAUUUUAUUUUAAAUUGUAUUACCCAAGUUUUAGUUUUUCAUAUGUCUGUAUCUCAUGAUAAGAUUACCUGAAUCAUAAAAAACUGCUUGGAUUCAAUCUCCAUUAUUGAAGCAUCCAUUUGUGAUGACCCUUUAAAUCUAUCCAAGAUUAAUCAAUUUAAGCACCUACAAGAUCGGAUUCUAUCAAGCCUAUAAAGGAGUAGAUGAAUCAAUCAACGGGACCUGUAUAACACGUGCUGUAGUACUUCAGCGGAAGCUUAAUCCACAGCUGGUAAUGGCAGCAACAUCUUUCCGCUACAAGAAUUCUUCACGUUACAAGGAUUCCAUUAGGCUACAGCUACACAAAACUUGAUGACCUACUUAUCAAGAUAUAGCACUCAUUUAUAGCAUUUUUCAUCAGCUAUUUUACUUACAGAACAGAUUUUUCAACUGAAUUUAACAAACUAAUUUCAAGUGGGCCCACCACAGCGCCACCUCAGCGGAAACAUGUUUGCCCUUUUAACAGCCAAAUAACUAACUACUGAAAAAGCUUGAAUCAAUCCUUUUUAGCAACUCUGAUUUCUCAUACUGAUCCUGUAAGAAUAAUUUUCAAUCACGUGCCUUGAAAAUAUUUUGAUGGAAAAUUAUUGACUAUUCCUUUGUCUCUUUGGCACAAAAGAAUUGAUCAUUAUCAAUUCUUUUGUGGGAAUGUGUAGUCCUCAUUAUCAAUUUUCGAAAACCAUGCUAAACGUUUUAAGGAUAUCGAAAUAUUAGAAAAUUGAUGGUAAAUAUGCAAGGAUGUCGCUGUUCAAAACUGAUAUUUGAUGAUUGAUGUGCUCUUAAUUUAUAUAUUAUUUUAAUAUUUUCCUAACUUAAUUUUAUGUUAAAAUUUAUUUUAUUAUGUUAAUUUUUAUCUUAAUUUUCUUAUUUUGUUAGUGUAGGUGUGUCUUGGGAAUAAGAAGAAAUUAAUUGGAGCUUAAAGAAUAAUGAAGUACAAAAAAUUAAUAACUUAUGGAAACAAAUAUUUGAUUGCCAAUUUUGCCAAACACAUGAGAAGUCAAACCGUAAGCAUGAAUUUAAAAGAAGAAAAAAAGGGGAAUGACUUCCAAGUUUAAGUUAUUCAAGUGGAGUGCACUAAGGGAUUAAUUGAUAAAUUAAAAUGGCAAGCAUGUGAUGGGCUUUUUGGACAAAUCCUUAUUGCCUUAGCAAUUAUAAAGUUGUUUUGAUUUAAGGAUUGACCAUACCAAACAAACGCUUGGAGGACAGAUUAUUAUAUAAAGAGAGGAAAAACUGAGAACAAAAGAAUUCAAAAGAGAAGCAACCGUAGAAUUUUAUCCAGAGAGAAGCCGAGAUUAAUUCUUGAGUUUUGCAAUAUUUUUAAGCUAAGCCAACGUUCCAGGAACAAUAGGAAUUGAUUGUUCCUUGGUGAAAUUCAAAGAACAGAAACAAGAGAUUCUUCAUUCAGGAACAAAUAAAACAAGUAACGAGUCUUUAGAAUCAAAUUAUGUCUGCAUACAUUUGUCUGCUGUACGGCCAAGGCGGAUGUACGGUACAGCAGGAAAUCCUUUAUUUUAUAAGACUAAGCUCUUUGAAAAGUUCACCAUAUCUAGUGUAACUUCAUUAUCACCAAUCUCGAGAUGUUUAAAAGCCAGUUCAUUAAGGUCAUAAGAAACCAGCUCUCCACUAAUCACUAACAUUCCAAAGUCACUAUUGUUGACAAUGCCUAAUGGCCUUACAAUUCUUUCCUCUGGCACAAUCGAGUAUUGUUUAGUCCAAGACUCCACCAUGCCAUACUCCCUCAUCACCCAAAUGUAACAACCCUCGAUU